AUGCUUGUUUUGACCACUAAACUCGUUCCUUUGCAUAACUACUUUUUCUGUACCAAAUUCCUUGAUCUGCUUCUACAAAUAUCUGGUGUGUGUGUGUUUGCUGCCUCUAUACCAGUCCGUGAACUAUUGAAGGAAUACCAUUUGCUGCAGGAAGGGAGCACACUGACAUUGAAUGAAAAUUUGGCCGACAGGAGGAAGUGCGGCCAUAAGAGGGUAUCCAUUGUUACUUUUGCAGGUGGGACCCUCCAAGUGGAGAACAGGCAGGCGGUGAGAUCAGCGGCAAGCACUAGCGGCCACCAGCAGAUGCAUGUGGACCACAGCACCAUCAUCAUCCAGUACCACGGACGGACGGCUGGCCGUGCAAGUCAGUCCACUUCGUAUGACGCAAGGUGA
rnacentral:rRNA from 1 species